GUCAAGCAGCUUGCUGUGGGGCUGUGGUAAUGCCCAAAGAACCUGCCCAGCCAGUCUUUCAGCUCAGCCUUAGGACUCUGAACCCUGUCCUCAAACUUCCUAGACUUGAGGACCUUCCUUCUCCUAUAAAGAGGGGGUUCUCUUCCACGCAGGUGGCUGGUUUGGACAAGACGAGAAACACAGAGCUUUAGAGGGGAAUCGGAGUAUGCCUGAACGUUAUUACAUUCAGGAGCUUGGGAUGUCAGCUUACUCAAGGCUGUCUUCUGUGACAUCCUGAAAAUGAGGAGGACACAGAGGAAACAAGAACUGAUGGUAACACUUGAAUAGAAGGUCCAAGAAUAUCUGAAACCUACCGUGGACAUCUUAUGGGAAAACUGCUGCUGGAGGAGCUGGUGAAUUGAUUUGUACUAUACAACUCGGCUGCAAACUUGGCUUUGGAACUCAUAAGGCAGAAAAUUGAGCACGGCGUUGGAAUUUUUCCCAAGGAAAUACGUAACUGUAAUUGUCUCUGAUACUCAGUGCAGGCAGUACCUGCUAAUGAACUAACUCAUGAAGAGAGCCCUUCUGUACUGAGCCGUGUGAGGCUUCGAGCUCACCUGUUACCAGACAGAGACCGUGCAUAUAGGCCCAUCAACUCCCCUUCUCUGAACUUCAGCUUUUUUUGCCUACAAAAGCGGGUACAGAUUCAAUCACCAACAAUGCUCCCACAAGCAGCGGUGGCAGCAGAUUCAAGAUGCUGUGGAUAAGAUCUAUUUUGAAAAAAAUAAAAAAUAAAAAAAAAUGCCAAGUUUACA